rnacentral:rRNA from 1 species
GACGAACGCUGGCGGCGUGCUUAACACAUGCAAGUCGAGCGAGCAGAUUCCCUUCGGGGAUGAAGCUAGCGGCGGACGGGUGAGUAACACGUGGGCAACCUGCCUUAUAGAGGGGGAUAGCCUUCCGAAAGGAAGAUUAAUACCGCAUAACAUCAGAUUAUCGCAUGGUAGACUGAUCAAAGGAGCAAUCCGCUAUAAGAUGGGCCCGCGUCGCAUUAGCUAGUUGGUGAGGUAACGGCUCACCAAGGCGACGAUGCGUAGCCGACCUGAGAGGGUGAUCGGCCACAUUGGGACUGAGACACGGCCCAGACUCCUACGGGAGGCAGCAGUGGGGAAUAUUGCACAAUGGGGGAAACCCUGAUGCAGCAACGCCGCGUGAGUGAUGAAGGCCUUCGGGUUGUAAAGCUCUUUGAUCAGGGACGAUAAUGACGGUACCUGAAGAACAAGCCACGGCUAACUACGUGCCAGCCGCCACAGUAAAAC